rnacentral:rRNA from 1 species
AGCGAACGCUGGCGGCAGGCCUAACACAUGCAAGUCGAACGGACCCUUCGGGGUUAGUGGCGGACGGGUGAGUAACACGUGGGAACGUGCCUUUAGGUUCGGAAUAGCUCCUGGAAACGGGUGGUAAUGCCGAAUGUGCCCUUCGGGGGAAAGAUUUAUCGCCUUUAGAGCGGCCCGCGUCUGAUUAGCUAGUUGGUGAGGUAAUGGCUCACCAAGGCGACGAUCAGUAGCUGGUCUGAGAGGAUGACCAGCCACAUUGGGACUGAGACACGGCCCAAACUUCUACGGGAGGCAGCAGUGGGGAAUCUUGCUCAAUGGGCGAAAGCCUGACGCAGCCAUGCCGCGUGGAUGAUGAAGGUCUUAGGAUUGUAAAAUCCUUUCACCGGUGAAGAUAAUGACUGUAGCCGGAGAAGAAGCCCCGGCUAACUUCGUGCCAGCCGCCGCAGUAAUAC